AACGAACGCUGGCGGCAGGCUUACACAUGCAAGUCGAGCGAUUAAGCCCCUUCGGGGGUGUAUAGAGCGGCGAACGGGUGAGUAACAGGUGGAUAAUCUGCCUCCCGGUGGGGGACAACGGCUGGAAACGGCCGCUAAUACCGCAUGCGGUUGCCGCGCUACGGCGCGGUAAAGAAAGGCGCUUUUGGCGUCGCCGGGAGAUGAGUCCGCCCCCCAUUAGCUAGUUGGUGAGAUAAAAGCCCACCAAGGCAACGAUGGGUAGCCGAGCUGAGAGGUUGAUCGGCCACACUGGGACUGAGACACGGCCCAGACACCUACGGGUGGCAGCAGUGUGGAAUCUUGGACAAUGGGCGAAAGCCUGAUCCAGCCAUGCCGCGUGGAGGAUGAAGGCCUUCGGGUCGUAAACUCCUUUUCUGAGGGAAGAACCCCGCGCGCAGGACAUGGCGUGCGGCUGACGGUACCUCAGGAAUAAGCAACGGCUAACUCCGUGCCAGCAGCCGCGGUAAUACGGAGGUUGCGAGCGUUGUUCGGAAUUACUGGGCGUAAAGGGGGCGCAGGCGGUCUGGUCCGUCUGACGUGAAAUCCCGAGGCUCAACUUCGGACCUGCUU
rnacentral:rRNA from 1 species